rnacentral:rRNA from 1 species
CCUACGGGUGGCAGCAGUGAGGAAUAUUGGGCAAUGGAGGCAACUCUGACCCAGCCACGUCGCGUGAGUGAAGAAGGUCUUCGGAUUGUAAAGCCCUUUUGGUUGUGACGAUGAUGACGGUAGCAUCUAAAGAAGCCCCGGCUAACUUCGUGCCAGCAGCCGCGGUAAUACUACGGGGGCAAGCGUUGUUCGGAAUUACUGGGCGGAAAGGGAGUGUAGGUGGUUUAGUAAGAUAGUGGUGAAAUCCCAGGGCUUAACUUUGGAAUUGCCAUUAUAACUAUUAGACUAGAAUUAGAGAGAGGAUAGUGGAAGACCCGGUGUAGAGGUGAAAUUCGUAGAUAGUGAGUAGAACACCAGUGGCGAAGGCGACUAUCUGGCUGUACAUUGACGCUGAGGCUCGAAAGCAUGGGGAUCAAACAGGAUUAGAUACCCUAGUAGUC